AUUGAACGCUGGCGGCAGGCCUAACACAUGCAAGUCGAGCGAGAGGCGGACGGGGGAGUAAUGUAUGGGGACUGCCCGAUAGAGGGGGAUAAAUCCUGGAAACGGUAGCUAAUACCGCAUACUAUCGGAUAACCCAUAUGGGAUUAGCUAGUAGGUGAGGUAAUGGCUCACCUAGGCGACGAUCCCUAGCUGGUCUGAGAGGAUGAUCAGCAACACGUGGACUGAGACACGGCCUAGACUCUGCCGGAGUCAGCAGUGGGGGAUAUUGCACAAUGGGCGCAAGCCUGAUGCAGCCAUGCCGCGUGUAUGAAGAAGGCCCUAGGGUUGUAAAGUACUUUCAGUCGCGAGGCGUUACCGACAGAAGCAGCACCGGCUAACUCCGUGCCAGCAGCCGCGGUAAUUC
rnacentral:rRNA from 1 species